CAAGGGCACCAUGGUUGGGGUGUUCAGGGAGGAACCUGCCCUCUCUCACUUUGGCAGCCCCAUUCUGAUGGUUUUGUCCUUUGUUCUGUGGCCCAUAGUGUGUUCUCAAGGUAAAACGUCACCACAGGAAGGGCUGCUUUGGGACUGCUUUGGGACUACUGAAGGGAAUGUGAGGAGUGAGCAUUUUACACAUACACUAGAGAAACCCCUCUGCAUGGGAGAGUUUUGGAUAUUGUGGAGCUCAAACAUCUGAACAACCCAAUGGCAAUGAGGGACUUACAGGUUUCUUUUUGGACCUUCAUAGCUUUCCCACUCCUUGUUGAACAGCAGCUCCUGUCAAAGGGAGAGAAGAUUUAGGUCUCAGCAUUCAUCCUACAGCUCCAUUUGCCGCAACAUCAUCCCUUCUAUUUAGCAGUCAGGGUGAACAGAUGUUGUGAGGACUGUGAAGAAUAGCUUUAAUGGAAAUGUUGAGACCAC